rnacentral:tRNA from 1 species
GAUUCUCUGGUCUAACUGGUAAGACACCGGACUCUUAAUCCGGGCGAUGUGGGUUCGAGUCCCACGGGAAUCACCA